UUUAUUCUACUGCAUCAUCAGCAACACGCCAUGAUAUAUUUGUCCACGAGCUAAUAACACCAGCGUCGCCUAGAAACGGGCUCACGCAGGCGUCGUGCCUCCGCCGUUUGGCCAUCUCUAUAUACAGCGGAGGAUCAGGCAAUAAUCGCAAAUCCCACACCAACCAGAGCCACCCUGCCGUCGUAGGCGCACGCGCCGUAGAUAGGAAGCUUAUUAAGCUAGCGCGUGUCGCUGCGCCAUCCUGCCAUGGAGGAUCAGGCGCUGGCGCCGCUGCUGCAGCCGCUCCCGCUCGGCGAAACGGGGGCCAUCAAGGGGCGCGCGAGGCGGGCGGCGCUGGAGUGGUGGGUGGAGUCGAAGAAGCUAUGGCACAUCGUGGGCCCGGCCAUCUUCCAACGGAUCGCGCUGUACGGGGUCAACGUCGUCACGCAGUCCUUCAUCGGCCACCUCGGCGACCUCGAGCUCGCCGCCUUCUCCAUUGCUGCCACCGUCGUCGGGGGCUUCAACUUCGGUUUCCUGCUGGGAAUGGCGAGCGCGCUGGAGACGCUGUGCGGGCAGGCGUUCGGCGCCAAGAAGCACCACAUGCUGGGGGUGUACCUGCAGCGCUCCUGGAUCGUGCUCCUCAUCUUCGCCGCCGCGCUGACGCCGACGUACAUCUUCAUGGAGGACCUGCUGCUGCUGAUCGGGCAGUCCCCGGAGCUGUCGCGGUUGGCGGGGCAGAUGAGCGUGUGGCUGCUCCCGCAGCACUUCGCCAUGGCGAUGCUGCUCCCGCUCACGCGGUUCCUGCAGAGCCAGCUGAAGAACUGGGUGACCGCGAUCACCGCGGCCGUCGCGCUCGCCAUCCACGUCGUCGCCACCUACGUGCUAGUGCGUCUCCUCGACUUCGGCAUCGUCGGGGCCGUCGCCUCUGCGGACAUGGCGUGGUGGUUGGUCGUGCUGGGCCAGUACGUCUACGUCGUCGGCGGCUGGUGCCCGCUGUCGUGGAAGGGGUUCACCAUGGAGGCGUUCGCCGACUUCUGGGAGUUCAUCAAGCUCUCCUCGGCCUCCGGAGUGAUGCUCUGCUUGGAGAACUGGUACUACCGAGUGUUGGUGUUGCUGACAGGGUACCUGGACAACGCUGAAAUCGCUGUGGAUGCACUCUCCAUAUGUCAGACGAUCAACGGAUGGGAGAUGAUGAUCCCGUUCGGCUUCUUAGCAGCAACCGGGGUGCGAGUCGCAAAUGAGCUCGGCGCAGGGAGCGGCAAAGGUGCGCGCUUCGCCAUCGUGGUGUCCAUCACGACGUCCGUGGUGAUCGGCCUCGUCUUCUGGUGCCUCAUCCUCUACUUCGACGACAAGAUCGCGCUUCUCUUCACGUCCAGCGCGGUCGUGCUCGACGCCGUGCACCACCUGUCCGUGCUGCUCGCAUUCACCAUCCUGCUCAACAGUGUGCAGCCCGUCCUCUCAGGGGUGGCCGUUGGUUCAGGAUGGCAAGCACUGGUCGCCUACGUCAACGUCGGCAGCUACUACCUCAUCGGAGUUCCCUUGGGUAUCAUACUCGGUUGGCCGCUGCACUUGGGAGUAGGGGGAAUCUGGUCCGGGAUGAUUGGAGGGACCGCCGUUCAAACGCUCAUACUGGCAUACCUCACUGCCAAAUGUGAUUGGCACGAAGAGGCGAAGUUAGCUAGUAUGAGAAUGAAGAAGUGGGCCGACGAGUCGAAAUAAACCCACUCCACUGCUGCGCUUUGUUUGUUAGCCAGGCACACAGGGGAACGGAACCCCUGAAGCUAAGAUAACUUCUGAUACAGCGCUAUGCAUAUUCCGGCCUUCAGACGCCGUUCCCUGCAGCUUGCUACAGUAAAAUGAAGCCCCAGGUUUCUGACGAUGGUGUACGGAAAGCUCCCAUAGUGGAAUUGCGUACCGCGCGUGUCAAAAUAUUGUUCCACUAUAGCUAAUAUGGGACAGGACAUUCAUCGUUUUUUUUUCUUCUCAUCAUCGUAUUGUUCCACUAUAGGCAUGCCUGGCUCUCACUAGGUCAACAAGGCUACACUUGUCCUAAUUGAGUACAUACGACACAAAAUAUUUGGUUGUCGUAAGGAUAAUUUUAAAGUACAGUUUCGGUGUC